rnacentral:miRNA from 1 species
UGUGUGUGUGUGUGUGUGUGUGUGUGUGUGUGUGUGUGUAUGUAUGCGCGCGCACACGUGCAUGCACACACACACACACUUG